rnacentral:sRNA from 1 species
AGAGUAAUCAAGUCAGAGGAUUAUAUGACUUUUAUCUGCCUAGAGAAGAACUAUGGAUCUACAACAUGGAGACUGGAAGAUGGAAAAAAAUCAACACUGAAGGUGAUGUUCCUCCUUCUAUGUCAGGAAGCUGUGCUGUGUGUGUAGACAGGGUGCUGUACUUGUUUGGAGGACACCAUUCAAGAGGCAAUACCAAUAAGGUUAGUGUUUCUAAGGAUUAUGGCUUGAGGCAUUUUUAUUCUUAUUAUCUUUCAAACAACUGCAAAUUUCUAAGGUUAGCCCAGACUUAUUUGUGUCAUAGUUAAAAAUGAUGUGUACUUGAUUAUGAUAUGAAUGUGCAUUUUAGUAUUUUGUGUGCCAAUCUAUAUUUACCUAGGCAUUAUGUAAAAUCAACUUUUGUUGGUAACCUGUGUGCA